rnacentral:tRNA from 1 species
GCAGUGGUUGUUCAGUGAUAGAACUAUCGCCUUCCCUGUGGGAGACCUGGGUUCAAUUCCCUGCCAGUGCA